AGGACGAACGCUGGCGGCGUGCUUAACACAUGCAAGUCGAGCGGAAAGGCCCUUCGGGGUACUCGAGCGGCGAACGGGUGAGUAACACGUGAGCAACCUGCCCUUAGCUCUGGGAUAGCUCCGGGAAACCGGAAUUAAUACCGGAUAUUACACCGGCUGGCAUCGGCUGGUGUGGAAAGAUUUAUCGGCUAAGGAUGGACUCGCGGCCUAUCAGCUUGUUGGUGGGGUAGAGCCUACCAAGGCGACGACGGGUA
rnacentral:rRNA from 1 species